rnacentral:rRNA from 1 species
AAAAGCUCGUAGUUCGAGUUCCGUUCCGGACUGGUUGGGGAGGUCACCGCCCGGUGCCUGCCCGCCAGCCUCCGAACAGGCUCAAUUGCGAGCCCCGCCGGUUCUACGCCGGGGUGCUCUUUACCGAGUGUCCCGCGCGGCCGGCAAGUUUACCUUGAAUAAAUAAGAGUGCUCAAGGCAGGCUACUCUUCAAACAUAUGCCCGAAAGAUAACUGCAUGGAAUAAUGAAAGAUGAUCUCGACCUCAUUUGUGAUUGGCUUUGGAGAGCGAGAUAAUGAUAAAAAGAGACUGUCGGGGGCAUCCGUACUACGACGCGAGAGGUGAAAUUCUAUGACCGUCGUAGGACGAACAACCGCGAAAGCAUUUGCCAAGAAUGUUUUCAUUGAUCAAGAACGAAAGUUAGAGGAUCGAAGGCGAUCAGAUACCGCCCUAGUUCUAACCCUAAACGAUGCUAACUAGCAAUCCGCCGUCGUUAUUCCCAUGACGUGGCGGGCCGCCCCCGGGAAACCUCAAGUCUUUGAGUUCCGGGGGUAGUAUGGUUGCAAAACUGAAACU